CCGAGUUUACAACUCCCAAACCCAAUGUGAACGUUACCAAACUGUUGCCUCGGCGGGGUCACGCCCCGGGUGCGUAAAAGCCCCGGAACCAGGCACCCGCCGGAGGAACCAACCAAACUCUUUCUGUAGUCCCCUCGCGGACGUAUUUCUUACAGCUCUGAGCAAAAAUUCAAAAUGAAUC
rnacentral:misc_RNA from 1 species